rnacentral:rRNA from 1 species
AUCAGGUGGCAACCUUUCCAAUGCCCGAUCUCGUCUGGUCUCACAGUCUAAGCGGGGUUGGACCUGGUUAGUACUGGGAGGGAAGACAGCUGGGCUUACCUGGUG